UCCUUGCUGUUGAGGAUGUUUACGGAUAAC
rnacentral:piRNA from 1 species